UACGUAGGGGGCUAGCGUUGUCCGGAUUUAUUGGGCGUAAAGAGCGUGUAGGCGGCCAGGUAGGUCCGUUGUGAAAACUCGAGGCUCAACCUCGAGACGCCGGUGGAAACCGUAAAGCUAGAGUCCGGAAGAGGAGAGUGAAAUUCCUGGUGUAGCGGUGAAAUGCGCAGAUAUCAGGAGGAACACCCGUGGCGAAGGCGGUUCUCUGGGACGGUACUGACGCUGAGGUGCGAAAGCCGUGGGGAGCAAACAGG
rnacentral:rRNA from 1 species